ACUACCUUGGCAGAAUUAGUGCGUCGGAUUUAGGAUCCGUUAAUAUAGUGAUUACUAUAGGUAGUA
rnacentral:tRNA from 1 species